rnacentral:rRNA from 1 species
UACAGAGGUGGCGAGCGUUAUUCGGAAUUAUUGGGCGUAAAGGGCUCGUAGGCGGCCAACUAAGUCGGACGUGAAAUCCCCAGCUCAACCUGGGAACUGCGUCCGAUACUGGAUGGCUUGAAUUCGGGAGAGGGAUGCAGAAUUCCAGGUGUAGCGGUGAAAUGCGUAGAUAUCAAGAGGAACACCAGUGGCGAAGGCGAGUCCCUGGACAACACCUGACACUGAGGUACGAAAGCUAGGGGAGCAAACAGG